rnacentral:lncRNA from 1 species
GUAAAUGGCGUUGUUGGUACCCUCAGUCACAUCAGCUCCUCGGCGUCCGCGGCUACCUCACCCGCUACUCCGGCCGCCUAAGAAACGCCGCUCCUCGUCUGACCUGGCCACGGUUGUUUUUUUCUCUGUGUACCCUAAGAUCUUGAUGAUCUCCAGUCCCGUGGGGUUUUUUUGUUUUGUUUUUCCAACCACAGAAUUCCACUCUAUUGCCAGAAAUGGGCUGGUUUUCCCUUUGUUGUGCAAAAUGACGGUGUCCUUGAGGAAUGUUUGGAGGCUCUUAGCAAUGAGGAAUCAUCCAGAAGCAUAACUGGUGUCAGCUCAGUUGUGUUGUCAACAUUUCAACUGUGAGUAAAACCCAUGUAUCCCAAUGAAAGAGGAAAGCUUUUCCAUAUAUAUUUUCUUCCGGAGAUCUUUAUCCCUAUGAUCUCAGAAAAUUGCUCCAGAAGAUCAGGUUUUACCAUCUAAAGUUCAUUUUAUUGAAAAGCUGAUUCUUCUUAAAGUGUAAGUGACGUCAGAUGACCCCACAAAAAAAGCAUUAUGACAUCAUCAGAACUAACAACCUGCCAUGACAUACUAAUGAGAAAAGGGAGUUAACAGAAUUCUUAACACUCCUCACAGUAAAGUCAACAUCUGCUCCCCUAGGUUUUAUGUGUGUUAAAAACAACCUUCAGGCGAGGGAAAAUUGAGUACCAGUCAUAAUCUUUCCUGAGAAAUAUUAAGUAGUAUAUGCUUACUAUCUUCUUCAUUUUUUUUUUAUUAAUAUAUAAUGGAAAGAUCCUGAUGUACUCAGGAGCUAAAACAAUGGCUUUCAGAUAGGGUGGAACAUAUAAUAUCUCCAGAGAGCAUGAAAUUUUUCUAUCUAAAACAUUUGACUAUACAGUGUUUGGAGACAAGGCUUACAUAUUUCUUUACAGUGUGGGGCUUACUAUCACAUAGGCAAAAGGCAAAAUGUCUGACAAUACCAAAAGUGGGGUGGAGCUCUCUAUAACAGCAAAAUCGGACAAUUACUUUAGAAAACAGUUCAACAAUAGUAGAAUUAAAAUUUCCCUUACCCUUAAAGAAUCUUUUUAAUAGCCUAUUUACAAUAAAAGAUACUUAAGAGACA